rnacentral:rRNA from 1 species
GACGAACGCUGGCGGCGUGCCUAACACAUGCAAGUCGAGCGAACAGACGAGGAGCUUGCUGCUCUCACGUUAGCCGCGGACGGGUGAGAAACACGAGUAUCACCUACCUAUAUUUCGGGUAUAACUUCGGGAAUCGGGAGCUUAUACCAUAGGAUAUACUGCAGCGUGGGGGGCGAUAGUGAGAGACGGCUUUGCUGUCUCGUAUAGAUGCUUCCGCGCCGCAUUAGAUAGUUGGUAAGGUAACAGGUUAUGAAGGCAACGAUGCGUAGCCGACCUGACAGGGGGAUCGGCCACACUGGAGCUGAGACACGGUCCAGACUCCUACGGUAGGCAGCAGUAGGGAACCUUCGGCAAUGGGCGAAAGCAUGACGGAGCGAGGCCGCGUGAGUGAUGAAGAUCUUCGGAGCGUAAAGAUCUGUUAUGAGGGAAAAACAAAUGUGUAAGUAACUAUGCACGUAUUGACGGUACCUAAUCAGAAAGCAACGGCUAACUACGUG